AGGAACUUUAAUAUAGAAAAAAUUAAUGGGGAAUGGUACACUAUUAUCCUGGCUUCUGACAAAAGAGAAAAUAUAGAAGAACAUGGCAGCAUGAGACUUUUUGUGGAGCACAUUCAUGUCUUGGAGAAUUCCUUAGCUUUUAAACUCCAUACUGUCCAAGAUGAGGAGUGCUCCAAAGUAUUUUUAGUUGGUGACAAUAGAGAAAAGGCUAGUAAUAUUCUGUGACAUAUGAUGGAUUCAAUAUAUUUCCUAUACUGAAGACAGAAUAUGAUAAUUAUGUUUCAUCUCAUUAAUGAAAUGAAUGGGGAAACCUUUUGCUGAUGUUGCUUUAUGACCUAGAACCAGAUUUGAGUUCAGACAUCAAGGAAGAGUUUGCAAAACUAUUUGAGGAGCAUGGAAUCGUUAGAGAAAAUAGCAUUGACCGAUCUAAUGCCAAUCACUGCCUCCAGGCCCUAGAAUGA
rnacentral:lncRNA from 1 species